rnacentral:rRNA from 1 species
CGUCUAGGCGGGGAAUUAAGUUAGGUGUGAAAUCCAUGGGCUCAACUCGUGAAUGGCAUCUAAAACUGGUUCUCUUGAGUCCGGGAGAGGAGAGCAGAAUUCCUGGUGUAGCGGUGAAAUGCGUAGAUAUCAGGAGGAAUACCAGUGGCGAAGGCGGCUCUCUGGCCUAGGACUGACGCUGAAGCGCGAAAGCGUGGGGAGCGAACG